UGGGGAAUUUUGGACAAUGGGGGCAACCCUGAUCCAGCCAUGCCGCGUGCAGGAUGAAGGUCUUCGGAUUGUAAACUGCUUUUGUCAGGGAAGAAAAGGUCUGUGCUAAUACCAUAGACUGCUGACGGUACCUGAAGAAUAAGCACCGGCUAACUACGUGCCAGCAGCCGCGGUAAUACGUAGGGUGCAAGCGUUAAUCGGAAUUACUGGGCGUAAAGCGUGCGCAGGCGGUUCUGUAAGACAGAUGUGAAAUCCCCGGGCUCAACCUGGGAAUGGCAUUUGUGACUGCAGGACUAGAGUUCAUCAGAGGGGGGUGGAAUUCCAAGUGUAGCAGUGAAAUGCGUAGAUAUUUGGAAGAACACCAAUGGCGAAGGCAGCCCCCUGGGAUGCGACUGACGCUCAUGCACGAAAGCGUGGGGAGCAAACAGG
rnacentral:rRNA from 1 species